AGACUCCUAUACACGUGUUGCUCAUCGGGAAGGAAAGACGGAUGGAAAAGCCGAGCUCUCUGUCAAGCAUGCAAGAAGUUUCCUCUCUCUCUCUCUCUCACCCAUCUCUCGCUCUCAAACCUCAACUUCUCUCUUUCACUUUCUCCGUUUUGCCGAAAUACCACCCAACCAGUAAACGCUUUCGGUUUGAUUCGAAGAAAAAUUUUACCCAUAAAGGAUAGCGUUUCUUUGUGAGUUCUUCGGAUCUUACAUCUGGGGUUUUCUGCUGAUGCAAGGGUUUCAGAGUAUUUCCCGAUCUCUCCUUACCCAGGUAACUAAAUCUCACUUAUUCUCGAAUACCCAGAAGCCAAAUAUUGAAUUUUUCACUGUACUUAAUCUCUUUUAGCAACCUCCAGUUGUCCUCUGCUUUUCUCACUCUCCAGUGUUCAUCAACACCAUCAGGUCUCUCUCUACCUCUACCUCUCUCUAUAUCUCUGAUAUGUUUAUACAUGUCGUUGUGUAUCUAUAUAUCAGGUUGAAAAAGUUGUUAAUUUGAUUAAUUUUGUUAGGGAAAUUAUUUGUUUUGGUGAUGGAUUUGUGGGUUUUAACCGUGUUUUGGAUAUACUAACAAUUUUGUUUUGCAGUAAAUUGCAAUGGGUUGUCCACGGUUUGCCUGGUAAAACCAGAUUUUGCGUGUGGGUUUAUUCGUAGACGAGUCUAUGAUUUUUCAGGAGUUGGAGCGCUGUUGGGAGUACUAAUAUACUGAUAUCUGAGAUUUUUUAUCUUUCAAAUGGAAGUUAACAUGAGCUUUUCACAUGACAUGGAUGUUGAGUACAAGAAACUCAUCCAGAUAGUGAACCCACCAAGUUGUUUUGUUUCAGGGUUGUAAUAGAUAACAAAACCUGCAAGAUGCAACGGUGAUAACGGUAUCUUUGAUCUACUCCUCUCUGCACCUCCUCCUAAACCCCUCUUGGAACCCAGAAGAGUCUUGAAUUCAGUUCCAACUGUGACAUAAAAUGGAACUUGGUGUCAUUAAGCUAUCGUCCUCAGCCCGCAGAAUUCAGGUAGCCCCAUGACUUUUACAUUACUGCUUUCUUUUUAUAUACUAAUUAUUGUUCUAUGAAUUGUAUUCUUCAGUUAAAUAAUGAUUAAUUAGAAUGCCCAAAAAAAAAACCUGGGCAUAAUAUGACUGACACUGCAAAAGUUUUCAUUUUUUCGAGUUCUUAUGCCUAUGCUAUAAUAUUGAUUCAAGAGAAAAGAGAUAAUAAUUUCACUAUGACUGACACUGCAAAAAACUUCUGUUCCAGUCUGUUGCAACAAUUAGUCCCCCCAGCAUUUUUGGUUUUCACAAGCCUCAAGGUUAAACAAUUUACAUGCCAAUGACUGCAGUUUCUAAUUAAAUAAUUAUUAGUUUCAAAUUAACACUGAGACAUUUGAAAAAUUGGUUUGGCAAGGCAUAGUUUAAUGUUCUUUUUCAUUUUAUGCAUUUUAAUUUGAGAGAAUUUGGCUUAUUUGUCUUGAUGUAAUUAAAUUCUUGAAUUUUGCAAAUUGAACUAAUGAAGUUCAUUCUGAAUUUCCAAUUCAACAUUAUAGCAUUAUAAAAUUGUUUUGCAAAGAAAUUGUGUGUUGCUCAUGUGCAUUCUUCAUUGUUUGCGCUUUCAAUUCAAGAUAAUGCAGUAUAUUUUCAACAGUAACCAAUAAUAUAUUCUCAGAUAAUCAUGGCGGGAUGGCCAUGAUAUGUUAUUUAGGGUACUUUGAGUGGAGUAAUUUUGUGAUAGUUAUUAGUUUGAAGCAUUGAUGUUUUUUAGUUAUUUGACCACCUUUACAUCUCUUUCAUUUAAAUACUUGAUUGGGAGCUUAAUCUUUCUUUUGGUAUUUGCUUAGUGUACUUUUGUUGGCCGUGUUUUGUAUCUCAUUAACGACAAGCAAGUGAAAGCUAUAAGUUAUCUAUUACAAGUAUCCAUUUUAAAAAAUCAUAUGUAUGAUAGUUGGUAGAUUUUAUUAUUUGAGAUUUCUUAUUAUUUUAGUGGUGUUGUGUUAACAUUUCUUUUGCAAUUUGAUACUUUUCUAUUUACACAUUUCUUUACAUGCAAUUUAAUCUGCAUAUUUGUGCUUUCGCAAAUUGAUAAAAUUGAUAUUUUGAUUCUACAACUUUGCAACUGAAUGAAAAUGGUUUCAACUCUGCGAUUUGCGAGCUUUUAAUCCAACAAGAAAGAUGAAGGUUCGUGCCUGUUGAGUGUGCAGGAGUUAAAGUAGGUGAGUUCGAAAAAUGUAAGAAUGCAGGAAUGUGAGUAAGAUUAAUCUUUUUUCACAUGCACAUCAUCUUUUGUAUAUAGAUUGUAUCAAUCAAAUCUUUCGUAUAUAAAGAUUUAUUCAGUAUUUUCUGUCAUACAAUCUUUUAUAUCUUUGAAACAAAUUUUUCACACAAUUUGUCAUCCCGCAGCAACGCGCGGGCAAAAACUAUCUAGUUAAUUCCUAAAGUUGUUGGCCCGAGGCUUAUUUCACAAUUUCGCCCUAUCAGUCUUUGCAAUACUAUUUAUAAGAUGGUGACUAAAAUUUUGGUUGACCGAUUGAGGCCCAUCUUAACCAAGAUUAUUAGUCCUUGUCAAGUGAGUUUCUUGCAGGGACGUAUAUCACCGAUAAUAUAGUUAUUGCUCAAGUCCUUCACACUUUCCGGAUAGCGCAAGGAAAAAAAAGCUUCUUAGCUUGGAAAAUUGAUCUAGCAAAAGCUUACGAUAAGCUUCGAUGGAGUUUUAUUCGGAAUACUCUUCAAGAAAUUGAUGUGCAAGGUAAUGUUUUGGAGUUAGUACAGGUUUGGUAUUGAGGUGUUUUUAUAAAAAGUGGGUAUAAAAAAAAAAUGAGCUCAAAAACGUGUUUGAUAAACACUUUAAAAUAGCUUAUAUUCACAAUUUUGGAUGAAAAAAAAAUUAAAAACGUGAAACAGCAAAAAUGAGCUUAUUCUCAUAGCACAAUAGAAACAGUUUUUUUUUUUCUUUUCAAAGCAAAAUAAUACCAAACCAGUGCAUUGCAUAACUGAUGUGAAUUUCCAAAUUGUUUCAAAUGGUGAGAAAACUAAUAGCUUUUGCCCACAAAGAGGUGUUCGACAAGGUGAUCCUCUUUCUCCUUAUCUAUUUGUUCUUUGCAUUGAAAAAUUAUCUCAUCUGAUUAAUGAAGCUGUUAAUUCUGGAAAAUGGAAAGCUAUUCAAGUUGCAAGACAAGGACCUGCUGUCUCUCAUCUUAUGUUUGCAGAUGACAUUAUUUUAUUUUGUGAAGCCUCCAAAGAGCAAAAGCUCAGAUCGUUAAGGAGUGCCUUGAUUUUGCUUGGCUUUUGGGCAGCAAAUAAGCUAUGAAAAAUCGAGAAUCUAUUGCUCACCUAAUAUUAAUCGUGGAAUGGCUCUUGAACUGAGUCGUAUUUGUGGUUCUCCCCUGACUAAUGAUUUGGGGAAGUAUUUAGGAGUUCCGCUCAUUUAUUCUCGCAUCAGUAAAAACUUACAAAGGCCUGGUAGAAAAGGCUCAACCUUAACUUUCUGCUUGGAAGGUGAAUUCAUUAUCUCUUACUGGUCGGGCCACUCUUGUCCAGUCUGUCACCUCCGCCAUCCCAGUUUAUGUUAUGCAGAUAGUGAAAUUACCAAUUACCAUUUGUGAUCAACUUGACAGGAUAAAUAAGAACUUCGUGUUUGGGUUAAUAUUUGAGUGUUGGGCUUGAAGAAAAUAAAGCCCAAGGAUGCCAAUUAAAAGGGAGACUUGCCCGAAGCCCAGUCUUAAGCCCAGAGCAAAUUAAAGUCUUCUCAACCAAGAUGAAGGCCACAUGUCUAUGAGUGAAGUGACAAGUGAUGAAGACUAACCUACUAGCAGCCAAAAAAUAGUUUCUAGUGGCAUUACAAGUAAAAAGUUAAUGACUCAUUACCCUCCAAGUGCUUUCGGGCAAGAGAAAAAGCUACAGCAGUCGGGCUAAAUUGUCUAUAAAAGGAAAGACAGGCCCCAGGGUCAAGGAUACUCAACCAAUCAAACAAACAAACAUACAAACUCUGCUCUCAGGCCAGAUUUGCAUCCAAGAGCUUAAAUCAACCUAGAUUCAGCCCUUUUAGUGAUAGUUCCUUACAAAAGACAUCUUUUAUCUAGUAUAAAAGCUCUGCUACCUCCCUUAGUGGUGUAGUAUCGACUCCCUCAUGUAAACUUGUUUACCAUCUAUCCCUUUUUAGCAUACAAUCUCUGUAAACUCAAAGAGAAGUGACUGCAAGAGGUUCAACAUUGCCAGACAAGUACAUCAACAAGCAAGAGCCCGACUACACAUCCAAAGUGCCAAUCCCUUAGAGAGUUAUGCUAAGGUCCAGAGAGCCUUGUCCAGAGAAAUCUUUGUCCAAACACUUCGUCUGGGGCUCCAUUCAAUCCAAAAAUAAGGUUAACUUGGUUAAAUGGAGCCAAAGUUGCCUUCAGAAGUCUUUUAGGGGGAGGGGGGUUUGGUUUGAAAAACAUGAGAGUUAUGAAUUCGGCUCUUCUUGCUAAGAACUCUUGGAGAUUCAUGUAGGGGGAUAAUGGCCUUUAGGCAAAAGUUUUACAAGGAAAGUAUAUCAAAGGUGAUAUGGGUUCGUUACUCAAUGAUAAAACUGCUUUACACUCUUCUUGUACUUGGAAAGGUAUUCUUGAAGGGACAAAACUUUUGCAUGAAGGUCUACUAUGGUGAAACAGAAAUGGCAAUAUGGUAAGGUUUUGGAUGGACAAAUGGGCUAAAUGUGGUAUUUUGCUUCAUCAUGUUUCUUGCUCGCUUUCCGAUGAUAUGCUUAAGGCUACUAUAGCAGAUUAUUGUUACAAUAAUGAUUGGGAUAUAGGUAAAUUAUUACUUGUUUUACCAAAGGAGAUUGUCAAACAAAUUCUUAGCAUUCUAGUUGGUUUUGAUGCUUUGUCUGAUAAGUGUAUCUGGAGUGCAACAAGUGAUGGUAAUUUUUCUGUUAAAUCCGCUUAUAUGUUGGUCAUUAAUUCAAGUGGUCUUCCUAA